rnacentral:rRNA from 1 species
UACGUAGGGGGCAAGCGUUGUCCGGAAUUAUUGGGCGUAAAGAGCGCGUAGGCGGUCCGAUAAGUCGGCUGUGAAAGUCAGGGGCUCAACCCUUGAAAGCCGGCCGAUACUGUCGGACUAGAGUCCGGAAGAGGCGAGUGGAAUUCCCGGUGUAGCGGUGAAAUGCGCAGAUAUCAGGAGGAACACCGGUGGCGAAGGCGGUUCUCUGGGCAUUACCUGACGCUGAGGAGCGAAAGUGUGGGGAGCGAACAGG